rnacentral:rRNA from 1 species
AUGAACGCUAGCGACAGGCCUAACACAUGCAAGUCGAGGGGCAGCACAAGGAGCAAUCUGAGGUGGCGACCGGCGCACGGGUGAGUAACACGUAUGCAACCUGCCUGUAAGCGGGGAAUAACCCGUUGAAAGACGGACUAAUACCGCAUAAUACUAAAUUACUGCAUGGUAACUUAUUUAAACAUUUAUGGCUUACAGAUGGGCAUGCGCAUGAUUAGCUAGUUGGAGAGGUAACGGCUCCCCAAGGCAACGAUCAUUAGGGGUUCUGAGAGGAAGGUCCCCCACACUGGUACUGAGACACGGACCAGACUCCUACGGGAGGCAGCAGUGAGGAAUAUUGGUCAAUGGACGAGAGUCUGAACCAGCCAAGUCGCGUGCAGGAAGAAUGUCCUAUGGAUUGUAAACUGCUUUUGCAGGGGAAUAAAGUGCAUCACGUGUGAUGUUUUGUAUGUACUCUGCGAAUAAGGAUCGGCUAACUCCGUGCCAGCAGCAGC